UUCUCUGAAAUCAGAACCCUGGGGUUUCUUUCACUUCCUGCCAAAAGGGUCAAGCUCUCAGGAGAUUUCCCCUGUUUUCACACUUUAGUGCUUGUUAACCUGGGGAAAGGAGGUCUGAGAGACUCAAAUUUCUUUUUCUGUUUUUAUUAUUGCAUUAUCUCCCGUCCUGUGGCACAUUUUUCAUUCUUUCAACAAACGUAGAGAGAUCAUUUAUGAUACGUGCCUGCUGCAUCGUAUAUGCCCAGUAAAUAACUGGAAGAUGUGCAAGUCAGGCGCUGGUAGGCUGCUCUGGUGACAUGACAGAGUCUGGUUCCCCCGGGCUUCUCCCUUAGAUCCUCGUCGCCUCCUAGACCCAAAUAUUCUGUCUCUAAACUCCUGUUUCUCCCUUUUGUUCAGGACCCCAAAAUAUUCAGACCAGCCUUCUACUUUCUCCCUCCAGACCAAACAUGCCUUCCCUCUACUUCUUGUUCUAGCUUGGGUGCAGGCAGAUGUUAAUCCUUUCUAUACAGGCAGGGUGUGCCAAUGGGUGAGGCUGGUGGAGGGCAAUAAUAGGGUGGGGAGAGGGGAAGAUGAGUCAGAGUGAAAGGGAAAAUGCAAAUGGACAGGCUGUAUUCAUGUGCUACUCUGAACGUUAAAUAUUUUCCAUUUCUGAGCUUUCUAACUCCUCAUACCACCACACCCAGGGACUCAUUAGACACCCAUAUUAAAGACACUUGGCCUGAACAUAUAAAAGCACCAAUCCCUGAUAUGUAUGCAUACAGAGAAAAACAUCCUUUCUUCAACACAGAGAUACAAUCCCUGGAGAUAUGGAAUAAGUGGGGAAAGCCAUGAGAGAGAAACCCCACGUGUAGAAGGAAGGUACAGGGGUCUGGACGAUUACAUCAUCACCCCUUGCCUCCCAGCUCUACUUCAUGGGCCUAUGACUCAGCUCUCUCACUGGUAUGAUCUGCCCAUUGAUGAUCAAGAAUGUUGGAAACUGUGCUCACAGGGCAGAAUUCUGUGGAAGCCAAUUGUAGCUGACGAGAAGUGUCAGCAGGCUUCCGGGAAACAUGGAGGAGAAGGCUCAAGGAGAUUCCCCAUCCAGUGAACAAAAGCCCCCAAGAAUGGGAAGCCUCAUUUUGCCUCCCAUCUGGUGUCUACCCGACCUAAGGAAAUCCUUUUAGAGACCGCCUCCUUAGAGGUAUCUCCAGGGCCCUCUACACCUUAGCCCUAACGCUGGUGACACUUCAGGCCCUUCUCUCUACCUACAUUCUUGACUACACAGCCCAAGACUUCUUGCAUUGAGCAGUAACAGCAGAAGCAUGAACAAAUUGCACUUUGACUUGGAAGGGUAGGGACACUGCUAACUGUCUAUUUUUGAAAGGUCUCCCAUCACAGUCUCAAAACUCUUGUCCAGCUUCCACUUCCCAGGUUGACUCUGUAGAAAUCACUUGCAGUUGUCUUACGGGGUGGACACAGGAAACCAUGAGUUUUGAGGACACAAACCUGCAUCCUGGGAGAGGGUACAGUGAGUAGAAGAGAUUAGGUAGGGCAUAACUGGAAGGAAGUAUGUGGGAAAAUGAGGUAUGAUUUUUGCCUCUCAGUCCUAACACAUUACUAAAUAAAGUUUAAAAUCUGAUAUUUUUUUAUUCUCACUGAUAGGCUUGAUGAUAAGCUCCUUCAUAAGCCCCUGCAGGUACAAUCCAGCUUUAUAUAAAAAUGUCAACACAGCAAUACAGAGACAUCACAUGGCAAUAGUAUCUCAUGGAGGUCAAACAACGUAUCUGAGAUUCAGAAACUCCCUCCUCAAGAACCUCCAGAAGACCAUGGGCCUAACCUCCUAGCCAGGUUGUCUAACCUGGACCCGGUACUGGAAAACCUGCCAACAGCACCUCAAGCUGGAGUCCAGAGACCCGAACUAUCCCCGCCACCCCCCCCCCCCCAAAGCCUUGCAACCACAUAUUCUCAGCACAGCCUGGAUGCAGUAGCCUUUGACAACUUCUCAUCAGGCUUUCAAACCCAGCAAUACUCACUCUCAGCCCAGGCUGGAUCCAAAGACUCCAGAAAACCUCUCAAGUGUACAUUAGUUUCACCUUUUGGCCAGUGACUCCCAACAACCUCUGGAGAGUCACAGGUCUCUCCUUCCAAGUCACCAGAUCCAGACUCAGUCCAGAGACCUCAGACAACCUCUCACAGUUCAGAGGCCAUACCUCAUGGCCAAUGACACCAUGCAGAGUUCCAAAAGGCUUUCAACUGCCUCAUAAGCUAGCCUCAGGGACCAUGGACCAACUCAUAGGGCAUGUUGGCCUAGCCUCUGCCCAGCCUGGGUCCAAGGGUGCCCAGGAGGCCCCGUUCCCAGCCUCACCAGGGCAAAGGAAGUCUCCAGGGACUAAAGCCCUCAGUCCUCAAUUCUUGACCCUCACGGCCACCACUCAAGCUCCCACACCCCAGCUUUUGCCUGGGUCAGCUCAGGCCUGAAGAAGUGUAAGAAAAACCAUGGCACUCACUGACUCAGACCCUGUUCUUCUUCCCACAGCCUCACAUACACUGAGGGCAGUGCAAGAUCCAGUGUCCGUUAGAAAGUAGGGAUGAGCGUGAGGCCAGGAGCUCGAAGCCUGGGCGCGUGCGCAGCUCGCUCGUCUCCCUGAGGCGGACGCUGAUUGGCUGCAGUGUGGACCGCAUCUACUGAGCAUUCUCAACAUCCUAGGCGGCACCUAGGACAGCUCCACUUGCUCCCUCCAGCCUCGCACCCACCGCUGAUUGGCUGCGGAGCUCCCUCCCGCCCUGCUUGCUGUGCGGAGUGGCAGGGCUUUGAGUCUAAUUGGUCCGGGGACUCAGGUUUCAGGUCUCUAAGACUGAGGUCUUAUCCUCCAGCCCGUCCCCCACCCCUUCUAAUUGGCUGCGGAAUUUGCUCUCCCUCCGUCCCCCUAUGAAAAAACUAGGCCCCGAACCUCUUUCGCUAACAGCCUUGGAAUCUUCCUUUGCAAGGGCUCAGGAUACCACCAGUUCUUUGCUCCUGUCUUGCCAACGAGUGGCUCUCGUUGCAAACCCUUUCAUCUCUCUCUCUCAACCCCUGACAGCCUAUGAAAUGUAUGUCUGUGAUUGGUUGGGAGGCCCUCACGAGCCAGCCGGGAUUCAGGUGCCUGUGGGCAGCUCCCCUUUCCUGCCUCUUGCCUUGCUUCACUACUGAUUGGCUGCAGAACGCCCCCUGCCUCACCUGGAAGUGUGCGGGGGCAGGGAAGGCACCAGAGGGGCAGUGCCUUGACCCGUGAUUGAUCAAAUGCUCAUUGCCUGUCAGCUGAGGCAGGGUUAACUGCGUACUUCACGUACCAGCCUCCCCCGCCCGCCCCACAACCCCACCCCAGCCAACACACCAGAGAGAAUGGCCCAUUGCUUUGCCCCACCAUUAAGUUGGUCAGAGCUAAGAGCCCAGCCAGCUGGCGUUCUACCCAGGAAGGGCUGUAGUGCUGACAAGGCGACUAGCUCGAACGGCGCCAGUCCGAGAGCACUACUUGCCUCUCUCCUUCCACGAGCUCGGCUGCGGUUGCACUGCUGAUUGGCUGGCUCCACUCUCUUCUAAGUGGCUUAGCCUUGCGUUCGCGCAGGGACACAUCCAAUGAGGAGCGAGGGCGCUUUCAGGAGGCGGGCAUUGUUCGACCGGUUCCACUUCUGAUUGGUCCAGGGGCUUGCCUCUUCUCUUUUGAUUGAUCAGAGGGGCGGGAGGCGGGAGCCCAGCUCAACGGUUAUCAGGCGGCAGUUGGAAUUCUGUCCCUGUGCUUCAAAAGUUCAGCUUCAGGGCUCGGUGGAGUGUUGUCUGGCGCCUACUUCCCCGUAGCUAGCUGAGGAACUGGGGAGGGAACACGGGGGCAGGAGGACCUGGGACUGUCGCUGCAGCUCCAAGUCGGGAUGGAGACCGACUGAGGCGAGUGGCGGACCGGAGGGUGCAAACCCCUCAAAAAGCUGGAAGAGUCAGGUGCUGUAAUAGUAACAGCAGCUCCCGCUCACCGAGCCCUUUUGGUGUACCGCAGUGCGUGCAUCAUCUCACUGACUCCUUCUAAAUAACCCUGUGAGGGAGCAGAUUACUCUGCCGGUUAACCUCCGAGGGUCAUUUGUCGCCCACAGCGAGAGCCGGCAUUGCUAGAACUCCGACCUUGUUCUAGAGAGUCCGGCAUUCGAGCUACACUAUGAUUAAGUAGGGUUGAUCUUGUAGAUGUGGGGUGGGGCCUGAUGUGAUCACCUUGGCCCUGGCUUACCUCGUCCAUACAUGAAGGUGUUUGGGUUUUGGUUUUGGACUAUUAUCUGAUCCUGAAGGCUUCACUCAGUACAUAUGCUCAAGUCCUCAAACUUUUAGAGAAUGGUUUAACCCUUCCUGGCAAUGCUGCAAGCCCUGCCACGUGAACAAACUUGGGCUGGCCUGCGGUAGACACAUGGCCCAGUUCAGAGCCAUUACCCCAGCCACCUACACCCACUGCCAGCCAGCCAUACAUGUGAGUGAAACCACCCCAGACCAAACAGCCCCCAGUCACCCCACUAGCUGACUGCAGCUGCGAGAGUCAGCCCAGGUGAGACCAACUGGAGAACUGAACUGCCUGGCUGGGCUCAGCCCAAAUGGUCCGGAAGAAUCAGGAGGGAUUGCUUUUAGGUUAUUCUCGGACAGAGCAUCUUUGCACACACUUGUGAAUGCAUAUGCAGAAUAGAUUCCCAGAGGUGGAAUCACGUGGUCAAAGGGGAGUGGGCAUGUGAGCGGAGGGACCGGGGUGGACAAACCUGUUCUGCCGGCCGAGGCCUGCCUAGGACAGGCCACGCUGCUGCCAGUCCGGCUGAGUGAACUACACUCUGCAGGCGUGUGACCAGAUGGAGCCAAGGAAGGUGGUGGCAGAUGUGGGACAGAGGUGGAAGCCUGCCUACCCGGCCUCUCCGAAGCCAGCGCAACCCCCAGCCCCAGCAUUUGGCAGGGCCUGGCCUGUUUUAACUGUUUAGGUAAAAUUCGAAAAUGUUUCGCAGAACCAUUCUUUCCUUGAUACACAUCUCAUGUCCCAUGGUGACGUUUUUCUUAACAUUUGUGUAUUGUUUUUGGAGGACAAGCAAUAAUCAUAGAAUAUUGGCAAAUACCAAAAUAGCCAAGGAAUGAACUAAAAGUCCCUGCAAGUCUCUCCUCUUCCUUAGUAACCGACGAUAACCUUUGGGAGACUUUGUUUUACACUUUUAUUUAUUGAUUUUUUAAUGUUUAUUUUUGAGAGAGAGACAGAGUGCAAGUG